AUGGCUCAGGAUGAACGCUAGCGGCAGGCUUAACACAUGCAAGUCGAGGGGCAGCGCUGAGUAGCAAUACUCUGGCGGCGACCGGCGAAAGGGUGAGUAACGCGUGAGCAACAUGCCCGGUAGUGGAGGAUAGUCGAUGGAAACGUCGCGUAAUACUCCGUAACAACAUUGACCGCAUGAUCGAUGUUUAAUAGAUUUAUUGCUAUCGGAUUGGCUCGCGUACCAUUAGCUAGUUGGCGGGUAACGGCCCACCAAGGCGACGAUGGUUAGGGGUUCUGAGAGGAAGGUCCCCCACAUUGGAACUGAGACACGGUCCAGACUCCUACGGGAGGCAGCAGUGAGGAAUAUUGGACAAUGGCCGGAAGGCUGAUCCAGCCAUGCCGCGUGCCGGGAAGACGGCCCUAUGGGUUGUAAACCGCUUUUGUUGGGGAGCAAUAAGGGUCACGUGUGGCCUGAUGAGAGUACCCAGCGAAUAAGCAUCGGCUAACUCCGUGCCAGCCGCGGC
rnacentral:rRNA from 1 species